GUCUGGAUCACACCACCAAGGAAACUACUUAGGACAGCAAAAUGCUGAGAGUGAAGGCAAUCCAGAAUAGAGAGUAGAGGGAGAUGACAUUUUUCCCCAGGAAAAGAGGCCCGCCAGAAUGCUGGACGGCAUCAGCUGCACUGAGACCUUGCAUGAAGAAGUGAUAGACUGUACCAGACACUAUGUUCUGCCCUAGAGAUGCUUGAUACAGGACCUGAAGGUUAAUUUCCUGCUUUGUAAUCCUGUGAAGUAAGUAUGAUAAUUCCCACUUCAUGGAUUUGUAAAUCUGAGGUUCAGAGAUUUUACUGGGCAAGUCAUAGUCUUCAUCAAUGAACAAGCACUCCAAGACCAAGUCUGAUCUCUGCACCCUGCUGUCUCUGGGACAAGGAAAUGGAAAUCCAGAGGGAUGAAGCAAUUGGCCUCCAGUCUCUCGGGUGUUAGCGGACAAGAUUCCAAGACACCACAGGUGACUGUAUAAAGAUUAGAUAGCUUUCUUACUAGCUACUGGACAGAUAAAUG